rnacentral:rRNA from 1 species
AGAGUUUGAUCCUGGCUCAGGAUGAACGCUAGCUACAGGCUUAACACAUGCAAGUCGAGGGGCAGCGGGAUUGAAGCUUGCUUCAAUUGCCGGCGACCGGCGCACGGGUGAGUAACGCGUAUCCAACCUUCCGUUUACUCGGGGAUAGCCUUUCGAAAGAAAGAUUAAUACCCGAUGGUAUGGUAAGAUUGCAUGGUAAUACCAUUAAAGAUUUAUCGGUAAACGAUGGGGAUGCGUUCCAUUAGGUAGUAGGCGGGGUAACGGCCCACCUAGCCUACGAUGGAUAGGGGUUCUGAGAGGAAGGUCCCCCACAUUGGAACUGAGACACGGUCCAAACUCCUACGGGAGGCAGCAGUGAGGAAUAUUGGUCAAUGGACGGGAGUCUGAACCAGCCAAGUAGCGUGAAGGAUGAAGGUUCUAUGGAUUGUAAACUUCUUUUAUAAGGGAAUAAAGUGCUUUACGUGUAGAGUUUUGUAUGUACCUUAUGAAUAAGCAUCGGCUAACUCCGUGCCAGCAGCCGCGGUAAUACGGAGGAUGCGAGCGUUAUCCGGAUUUAUUGGGUUUAAAGGGAGCGUAGACGGGAUGUUAAGUCAGCUGUGAAAGUUUGGGGCUCAACCUUAAAAUUGCAGUUGAAACUGGCGUUCUUGAGUGCGGCAGAGGCAGGCGGAAUUCGUGGUGUAGCGGUGAAAUGCUUAGAUAUCACGAAGAACCCCUAUUGCGAAGGCAGCCUGCUGGACCGUAACUGACGUUGAUGCUCGAAAGUGUGGGUAUCAAACAGGAUUAGAUACCCUGGUAGUCCACACGGUAAACGAUGGAUACUCGCUGUUGGCGAUAUACAGUCAGCGGCCAAGCGAAAGCAUUAAGUAUCCCACCUGGGGAGUACGCCGGCAACGGUGAAACUCAAAGGAAUUGACGGGGGCCCGCACAAGCGGAGGAACAUGUGGUUUAAUUCGAUGAUACGCGAGGAACCUUACCCGGGCUUAAAUUAUGCAUGAAUCAUCCGGAGACAGAUGAGCCGCAAGGCAUGCAUGAAGGUGCUGCAUGGUUGUCGUCAGCUCGUGCCGUGAGGUGUCGGCUUAAGUGCCAUAACGAGCGCAACCCUUUCUGCCAGUUACUAACAGGCAAUGCUGAGGACUCUGGCGGUACUGCCAUCGUAAGAUGUGAGGAAGGUGGGGAUGACGUCAAAUCAGCACGGCCCUUACGUCCGGGGCUACACACGUGUUACAAUGGGGGGGUACAGAAGGCCGCUUGCCGGCGACGGCUGGCCAAUCCUCAAAUCCCCUCUCAGUUCGGACUGGAGUCUGCAACCCGACUCCACGAAGCUGGAUUCGCUAGUAAUCGCGCAUCAGCCACGGCGCGGUGAAUACGUUCCCGGGCCUUGUACACACCGCCCGUCACACCAUGAGAGUCGGGAACACCCGAAGUCCGUAGCCUAACCGCAAGGAGGGCGCGGCCGAAGGUGGGUUUGAUAAUUGGGGUGAAGUCGUAACAAGGUAACC